rnacentral:tRNA from 1 species
GAGGGUAGAGCUCAGUGGUAGAGCGUAUGCUUAGCAUGCAUAAGGUUCUGGGUUCAAUCCCCAGUACCUCG